rnacentral:RNase_P_RNA from 1 species
CGGCUUUGUGGGAUGGUCGCCGGUCUGCCCGGGCUUUAAACGGCAAAGGCAGGCGGGAGGAAAGUCCGGGCAUCACAGGGUAAGGGUGGUCGGUAACGCCGACCGGGGGUAACCCCAGGGAAAGUGCCACAGAAAACAGACCGCCAGGCUACGGCUCGGUAAGGGUGAAAAGGCGAGGUAAGAGCUCACCGGGACGGCGGUGACGUCGUCCGUCAUGGUAAACCCCACCCGAUGCAAGGUAAACAGAGGUCGAGACGUCGCUUGUCGGCGGCUCCGAGGUACCCGCCUCGCUGAUCUCAGGUAACCGCUUGAGCCCACUGGCAACAGUGGGCCUAGAUGAAUGGCCAUUGUCGCGCGUUGCAAGAUGCGCGAAACAGAACCCGGCUUAUCAGCAAAACCGAUCA